rnacentral:rRNA from 1 species
AGCGAACGCUGGCGGCAGGCUUAACACAUGCAAGUCGAGGGGAGCGGCAGACGGGUGAGUAACGCGUGGGAACGUACCUUUUGGUUCGGAACAACACAGGGAAACUUGUGCUAAUAACGGAUACAGAAAGAUCGGCCAGCGUCUGCUUAGCUAGUUGGUAGGGUAAUGGCCUACCAAGGCGACGAACAUUAGCUGGUCUGAGAGGAUGAUCGGCCACAUGGGGACUGAGACACGGCCCAAACUCCUACGGGAGGCAGCAGUGGGUAAUAUUGGACAAUGGGGGCAACCCUGAUCCAGCCAGGCCGCGUGAGUUAUGAAGUCCCUAGGGUGGUAAAGCGCUUUUGUGCAGGAAUCGGUACCGAAAGAAUAAGCCCCGGCUAACUUCGUGCCAGCAGCCGCGGUAAUAC